GGUGAACGCUGGCGGCGUGCCUAAUACAUGCAAGUCGAGCGAAAAGACGAUGAGCUCGCGCCUUCGACGUUAGCGGCGGACGGGUGAGUGACACGUAGGUAACCUACUAAUAAUACGGGGAUGACAUCGGGAGACCGGAUCUAAUACUGGAGAAUACUUCGAACCGCAGAGAUCGGUAGUGCAAGGUGGCUUUCCUGUCAGUUAUAGAUGGAGCUGUGCCGGAUUAGCUAGUUGGUAAGGUAACGGCAUACCAAGGCGACGAUCCGUAGCCGACCUGAGAGGGUGAUCGGCCACACUGGAACUGAGACACGGUCCAGACUCCUACGGGAGGCAGCAGUGGGGAAUCUUCCACAAUGGGCGCAAGCCUGACGCAGCAAUGCCGCGUGAGUGAUGAAGGUCUUCGGAUCGUAAAGCUCUUUUAUUGGGAAAGAAAAAACGUGUGAGUAUCUGUGGCCGUCUUGACGGUACCUAAUCAGUAAGCAACGGCUAACUUCGUG
rnacentral:rRNA from 1 species